rnacentral:rRNA from 1 species
AAUACCGCAUAAUGCCUACGGGCCAAAGAGGGGGACCUUCGGGCCUCUCGCGUCAGGAUAUGCCUAGGUGGGAUUAGCUAGUUGGUGAGGUAAUGGCUCACCAAGGCGACGAUCCCUAGCUGGUCUGAGAGGAUGAUCAGCCACACUGGAACUGAGACACGGUCCAGACUCCUACGGGAGGCAGCAGUGGGGAAUAUUGCACAAUGGGCGCAAGCCUGAUGCAGCCAUGCCGCGUGUGUGAAGAAGGCCUUCGGGUUGUAAAGCACUUUCAGUCGUGAGGAAGGUAGUGUAGUUAAUAGCUGCAUUAUUUGACGUUAGCGACAGAAGAAGCACCGGCUAACUCCGUGCCAGCAGCCGCGGUAAUACGGAGGGUGCGAGCGUUAAUCGGAAUUACUGGGCGUAAAGCGCAUGCAGGUGGUUUGUUAAGUCAGAUGUGAAAGCCCGGGGCUCAACCUCGGAA